rnacentral:tRNA from 1 species
GCGCUCGUAGCUCAACUGGAUAGAGCGUCGGACUUCGGAUCCGAUGGUUGCGGGUUCAAGUCCUGCCGAGCGCGCCA